rnacentral:tRNA from 1 species
UCCGCUUUGGCGCAGUGGUGCGCGUACUACGUUGCUAACAGUAGUAAGGUCCAGAUUCGACUCCUGGGAGCGGAA